UUCCAUGAAGUGUCUAAUCAGCUGUUAAUUCUAUACAGUGAAAUUUUCACAUCAGAUAUAUAUUUUUAGACCUAAAAGUUUCAUUCGGUUUAUUUUUCAUACUUUUGAUUUCUCUUCUCACUAUGCUCAGAUUCUCCUUUCAUUACAUAACUGUCCUUGAAAUAGCUCUUUAAU